GGGGGCGCAAACGGUAAUCGAUUCCCGUGCAUCCCCGUUCGUGGCAAGUCGAGGGCUGGAGAGCAGGUUGGCCUCGUAAAAAAACCCGCUCAAAGAAAAUAACUGCCGACCAUGAGUUGGCCCUUGCUGCUUAAGCGAAUCGCUAAACAGCAAGCGUUUGUUUCGCAUCGCGCCGGUGCGGGCGAGGCAGAUGUGUUUUAUCGCCGGACGAUCUGUUCAUGGUUACGAGUUCCAUGAACGGACCGUAAGAAAAAGCUCGGCGUGUCGCUCGCAUCGCGGGUGGCUUGGCUAGCGGCGGUGCGCGGUUCGUCUAUCGAGCCACUAAACUUGUAGAAGCGAACGAGGUUCCACGAGAAGACGAGGGUUCGACUCCCUCCGCCUCCACCA
rnacentral:tmRNA from 1 species